rnacentral:rRNA from 1 species
UACGUAGGGGGCUAGCGUUGUCCGGAAUCAUUGGGCGUAAAGCGCGUGUAGGCGGCCCGGUAAGUCCGCUGUGAAAGUCCAGGGGCUCAACCCUGGGAUGCCGGUGGAUACUGUCGGGCUAGAGUGCGGGAGAGGCGAGUGGAAUUCCUGGUGUAGCGGUGAAAUGCGCAGAUAUCAGGAAGAACACCCGUGGCGAAGGCGGCUCUCUGGGACGGUACUGACGCUGAGACGCGAAAGCGUGGGGAGCGAACAGG